CGGACGGGUGAGUAAUGUAUGGGGAUCUGCCUGAUGGCGGGGGAUAACUACUGGAAACGGUAGCUAAUACCGCAUAACGUCGCAAGACCAAAGAGGGGGACCUUCGGGCCUCUUGCCAUCAGAUGAACCCAUAUGGGAUUAGCUUGUAGGUAAGGUAACGGCCUACCUAGGCGACGAUCCCUAGCUGGUCUGAGAGGAUGAUCAGCCACACUGGGACUGAGACACGGUCCAG
rnacentral:rRNA from 1 species